GAUGAACGCUGGCGGCGUGCCUAAUACAUGCAAGUCGAGCGAACGGACGAUAAGCUUGCUUCUCUGUUGUUAGCGGCUGACGGGUGAGUAACACGUGGAUAACCUACCUAUAAGACUGGGAUAACUUCGUUAAACCGUAGCUAAUACCGGCUAAUAUUUUGCACCGUUUGGUUCAAAAGUGAAAUACGUUCUUGCUGUCACUUAUAGAUGUAUCCGCGCUGCAUUAGCUAGUUGGUAAGGUAACGGCUUACCAAGGCAACGAUGCAUAGCCGACCUGAGAGGGUGAUAGGCCACACUGGAAAUGAGAAACGGUCAAGACGGAAACGGGAGGCAGCAGAAGGGAAUAUGCCGCAAAGGGGGAAAGCAUGACGGAGAAACGACGAGAGAGUGAUGAAGGUCUGCGGAUCGUAAAACUCUGUUAUUAGGGAAGAAAAGAUGUGUAAGUAACUGUGAACAUAUUGAAGGUACCUAAUAAGAAAGCAACGGCUAACUACGUG
rnacentral:rRNA from 1 species